GCAGGGCCUGGCUCCUAUAUAAAUCACAGGCAGGAGGCAGUUCCCUACCAGCAGCCAAGGAGGAAGGAGCUCUCAGUCAUGGAAGAGAGGAGAAGCCUGCUGCAGGAGCAAUGUCUGAUACUGCUGUGAGAUGAAGAACCCCUGUCUUCUGAGCCAUUCUGCCAGGCCAGCAGCACUAGGAAGGACCUCACCUGUAAAAUAUGUUGUUGAUCUGCCGUCUCACAUAUGCUCGCAGGCCCAGGAACUUUCCAUAAAUCCUGUGCAAAAUGGUCUUGAGAAAGUCUCGCUCUCUGGGAUCUUCACUAUCAAACAAAUCCA